GGCAAGAUGGCCGAGCGGUUAAGGCGUGUGACUCAAGCUUAAGCUUGCCCACAAUGUGGGUUCAUUUCUCAUCACGGAAUCGUGGCGUGGGUUCAAGUCCCACUCUUGUCA
rnacentral:tRNA from 1 species